AUGCUCAUUUGGGCAGCAAAUAUGCCAAAAGUGGAAUGAGAUAGAGAGGAUUAGCAUGACCCCUCCCUGAGGAUGACACAUAAAUUCGUGAAGUGCCCAUAUUUUCC